GAUGAACGCUCGCGAUAGGCUUAACACAUGCAAGUCGAGGGGCAGCAUGGUCUUAGCUUGCUAAGACUGACGGCGACCGGCGCACGGGUGCGUAACGCGUAUGCAACUUGCCUCACAGAGGGGGAUAACCCGUCGAAAGACGGACUAAUACCGCGUACACUUGGGAUAGGGCAUCCUGACCCAAGGAAAUGAAAUUCGCUGUGAGAUAGGCAUGCGUCCCAUUAGCUAGUUGGUGAGGUAACGGCUCACCAAGGCGACGAUGGGUAGGGGAACUGAGAGGUUGAACCCCCACACUGGUACUGAGACACGGACCAGACUCCUACGGGAGGCAGCAGUGAGGAAUAUUGGUCAAUGGGCGAGAGCCUGAACCAGCCAAGUCGCGUGAAGGAUGACUGUCUUAUGGAUUGUAAACUUCUUUUAUACGGGAAUAACAAGAGCCACGUGUGGCUCCCUGCAUGUACCGUAUGAAUAAGCAUCGGCUAACUCCGUG
rnacentral:rRNA from 1 species